rnacentral:pre_miRNA from 2 species
GAGGGACUUUCAGGGGCAGCUGUGUUUUCUGACUCAGUCAUAAUGCCCCUAAAAAUCCUUAU